rnacentral:sRNA from 1 species
GCAUUUCGUGCGUGUCAGAUCGUUCGUCGUGCACUUCGUUCAACAAAAGCGACUAAAUUAGUGCCAAAUUUUACAACACAUGUCAUUUCAAACAAAAAAAAAAAAAAAAAGUAAUAAUAAAUACUGUGUGUGUAUGUGUGCAUGUGCAUGCAUAUCUGUGUGUGCGUGUGAGGAAGUUACAGUUUAAUGUUGGUUAGUCUCAAUUGUCGACGGCGACGCAUUGCGGCUGAUUGAUGCCAGUUGCUGCUGUUGUUGUUGCCUGCUGCUUUGGACAAACAAAUCAUGCAACAUGAGCCGAGAACUGAACGUGCUUUUAAC